rnacentral:rRNA from 1 species
UACGUAGGGUGCAGGCGUAAUCGGAAUUACUGGGCGUAAAGCGUGCGCAGGCGGUUUGCUAAGACAGGUGUGAAAUCCCCGGGCUUAACCUGGGGAACUGCGCUUGUAACUGGCAAGCUAGAGGUGUGGCAGGAGGGGGUGGAAUUCCAGGUGUAGGCAGUGAAAUGCGUAGAGAUCUGGAGGAACACCGAUGGCGAAGGCGGUUCUCUGGGCCUUACCUGACGCUGAGGAGCGAAAGCGUGGGGAGCGAACGG